rnacentral:rRNA from 1 species
AUUGAACGCUGGCGGCAUGCCUUACACAUGCAAGUCGAACGGCAGCGGACCUUCGGGUGCCGGCGAGUGGCGAACGGGUGAGUAAUAUAUCGGAACGUACCUUUCAGUGGGGGAUAACGUAGCGAAAGUUACGCUAAUACCGCAUAUUCUGUGAGCAGGAAAGCAGGGGAUCGCAAGACCUUGCGCUGAUUGAGCGGCCGAUAUCAGAUUAGCUAGUUGGUGAGGUAAAGGCUCACCAAGGCGACGAUCAGUAGCUGGUCUGAGAGGAUGAUCAGCCACACUGGAACUGAGACACGGUCCAGACUCCUACGGGAGGCAGCAGUGGGGAAUAUUGGACAAUGGGGGCAACCCUGAUCCAGCCAUGCCGCGUGUGUGAAGAAGGCCU